UACGGAGGAUCCAAGCGUUAUCCGGAAUCAUUGGGUUUAAAGGGUCCGUAGGCGGACCUGUAAGUCAGUGGUGAAAUCUCCCCGCUCAACGGGGGAAACUGCCAUUGAUACUGCAGGUCUUGAAUUAUUGUGAAGUAACUAGAAUAUGUAGUGUAGCGGUGAAAUGCUUAGAGAUUACAUGGAAUACCGAUUGCGAAGGCAGGUUACUAACAAUGGAUUGACGCUGAUGGACGAAAGCGUGGGGAGCGAACAGG
rnacentral:rRNA from 1 species